rnacentral:tRNA from 1 species
GUGGGUACAGCUCAGUGGUAAAGUGCAUGCUUAGCAUGCAGGAGGUCCUGGGUUCAAUCUCCAGUACCUCCA